rnacentral:lncRNA from 1 species
CUUUGUGCCUCUAUGUUGCUAAGGUUGGCUUUGAACUCACAAUCCUCCUGCCUCUGCCUCCUGAGCCAUAAGGAUUACAGGUGUGCACCUCCACACCUGACUUCUAUCAUUGUUUUAAGGUAACAAUUUCAAAAGUGUAUCAUGGGCUGGGAUUGUGGCUCAGUGAUAGAGUGCUCGCCUAGUAUGUUCGAGGCCCUGGGUUUGAUCCUUAGCACCACAUAAAAAUAAAUAAAAUAUCAGUAUUGUGUCCAACUACAAUUUUUAAAAAAAUUAAUAUUUAAAAAAAUAAAAAAAAAAAUUCUAGAGUGACCAAGCAAUGGUGUUUGAAUUUUAUGAGGAAAAUCUUCCGAUCUUCAGAUCCCCAUUUGCUAUAAAACUGAGAAAAUACCAAAGAAAAAGUACUCUGAUUUAAGUAUUCUGUUUGACAUAAUAAUAAAACAAAAUAUUUAUUUUUUUUAGAAAGUAAAUUAGAGUACUAAGGUUAGGGUGACAGGAGAAUUUGUUUUUGUGGUAUACCCUUUAACCCUCUUCAAGUAGUUUAAUAUGAUAUAUAUUGAUUUUCAAAUAUAAUAAUUAAAUGGGCUUUUCAAUCUUUAAUGUCAAAAAAGAA